GAGCUUUUGCUAACACGAAUACUAAAAUGGGAAGGCUACAGAGAAGAUCAGUUCGGUACGUGCACAAGGAUGACACACCAAAUCCUGAAGCCUUCCGUAUUUUU